rnacentral:rRNA from 1 species
GAGUUUGAUCCUGGCUCAGAGCGAACGCUGGCGGCAGGCUUAACACAUGCAAGUCGAACGGGCGUAGCAAUACGUCAGUGGCAGACGGGUGAGUAACGCGUGGGAACGUACCUUUUGGUUCGGAACAACUGAGGGAAACUUCAGCUAAUACCGGAUAAGCCCUUACGGGGAAAGAUUUAUCGCCGAAAGAUCGGCCCGCGUCUGAUUAGCUAGUUGGUGAGGUAAGAGCUCACCAAGGCGACGAUCAGUAGCUGGUCUGAGAGGAUGACCAGCCACAUUGGGACUGAGACACGGCCCAAACUCCUACGGGAGGCAGCAGUGGGGAAUAUUGGACAAUGGGCGCAAGCCUGAUCCAGCCAUGCCGCGUGAGUGAUGAAGGCCCUAGGGUUGUAAAGCUCUUUUGUGCGGGAAGAUAAUGACGGUACCGCAAGAAUAAGCCCCGGCUAACUUCGUGCCAGCAGCCGCGGUAAUACGAAGGGGGCUAGCGUUGCUCGGAGUCACUGGGCGUAAAGGGUGCGUAGGCGGGUCUUUAAGUCAGGGGUGAAAUCCUGGAGCUCAACUCCAGAACUGCCUUUGAUACUGAGGAUCUUGAGUUCGGGAGAGGUGAGUGGAACUGCGAGUGUAGAGGUGAAAUUCGUAGAUAUUCGCAAGAACACCAGUGGCGAAGGCGGCUCACUGGCCCGAUACUGACGCUGAGGCACGAAAGCGUGGGGAGCAAACAGGAUUAGAUGCCCUGGUAGUCCACGCCGUAAACGAUGAAUGCCAGCCGUUGGGGAGUUUACUCUUCAGUGGCGCAGCUAACGCUUUAAGCAUUCCGCCUGGGGAGUACGGUCGCAAGAUUAAAACUCAAAGGAAUUGACGGGGGCCCGCACAAGCGGUGGAGCAUGUGGUUUAAUUCGACGCAACGCGCAGAACCUUACCAGCCCUUGACAUGUCUAUGACCGGUACCAGAGAUGGAACCUUCCCUUCGGGGCAUAGAGCACAGGUGCUGCAUGGCUGUCGUCAGCUCGUGUCGUGAGAUGUUGGGUUAAGUCCCGCAACGAGCGCAACCCCCGUCCUUAGUUGCUACCAUUUAGUUGAGCACUCUAAGGAGACUGCCGGUGAUAAGCCGCGAGGAAGGUGGGGAUGACGUCAAGUCCUCAUGGCCCUUACGGGCUGGGCUACACACGUGCUACAAUGGCGGUGACAAUGGGACGCUAAGGGGCAAUCCUUCGCAAAUCUCAAAAAGCCGUCUCAGUUCGGAUUGGGCUCUGCAACUCGAGCCCAUGAAGUUGGAAUCGCUAGUAAUCGUGGAUCAGCAUGCCACGGUGAAUACGUUCCCGGGCCUUGUACACACCGCCCGUCACACCAUGGGAGUUGGUUUUACCUGAAGGUAGUGCGCUAACCCGCAAGGGGGGCAGCUAACCACGGUAGGGUCAGCGACUGGGGUGAAGUCGUAACAAGGU